rnacentral:rRNA from 1 species
UGGCGGACGGGUGAGUAAUGUCUGGGAAACUGCCUGGUGGAGGGGGAUAACUACUGGAAACGGUAGCUAAUACCGCAUAACGUCGCAAGACCAAAGAGGGGGACCUUCGGGCCUCUUGCCAUCGGAUGUGCCCAGAUGGGAUUAGCUAGUAGGUGAGGUAACGGCUCACCUAGGCGACGAUCCCUAGCUGGUCUGAGAGGAUGACCAGCCACACUGGAACUGAGACACGGUCCAGACUCCUACGGGAGGCAGCAUG